AGUUUUGUGCAGUGGCAGUAUCGUAGCCAGUGAGGUUUAUUUGAGGCGCGAUUAUUGCUAAUUGGAAAAAAAAAAAAAAACCACAAAAAAAACAACAACCAGAACUCUUUUUAAUUCCUAUAAUUAAAGAGCAUUUUUG
rnacentral:snRNA from 1 species